AGAGAGAGGCGGCAGCAGGCGCUGCUGAUUUUACAACACGCUGGCUCCUGCUGUUUAAACUGUUUAGUUUGGGUUGAAAUGGUUUUUAAUAGUUUGUGAGUUUUGUGUUUGUUUAUUACCUGCACGGAGUUCCGGGAAAAUGAAAGAAUCGCAUUUCUCUGUUGAAUUUCACACACAGAGUGGAGCGCGUCAGUCUCUGCAGACAAGUGUCUCUUUUCAAUGAGAUUAUUUACUGAGAAACAAACGCGUUUCAAUUCCAGUAGAGCUGCGCGGGAUCCUGAAAGACGGGCGCUACUGCUUGCAAAGUCUGUUUGUGAUGCAUAUAUUUGAAUGGGAAGGCUACGAUAAAAACAAAUAUAUCUACUAAAUACAAACCGAAGCAGUGUUUGUGGAUGAAAAGAGGAUUCCGCUAGACCAGUCUCCCACUAAAACCAGUGAAGAUGGAGGUCAGUGUCUCCGUGUCGCUCUUUCAAGAGCAGCUCGUCUCUCCCGUCGAGCGCGCAGUGAAAGCGGCUGAAACUCCAUCCUGUGUGAAAUUCACUGAGUUCCGAGUGGAAAUGACUGGACUGAAGAGAGAGAAUGAAAGUCUGAAGCUGAGAUUGGAAAUAUCAGAGAGCUGAGAGCCGUGCGAGGGUGUAUAAACACUGCAGAUACAGACAUUAAACAGACUUUCAUAUUUCAGGAUCCCAGAAAGAGCCACGCUAUCCCUGAAUCUGAAGUACAGGAGGAGCCAAAGAUAGAAGCAGUUUCCACACAAGAGGAGUCCUUUGAGCAGGAGUGCUGUGCAAGUCUAAUGCAGGUUACAGAGCUGCCGUUUGUUAAAGACUGAACAGGAAUGUGUUCCUAUCAAAGAGGAGUUCAUAGAGCAGGAAUGUGUCUCCAUCGCAGAGGAACCUCCUACUGAAAAUAAUGCCUGUACACUUGAGGAGAACAACAAGCUGGGAUCCAGCCUGUGUGAUGAUUCUCCAUCUGAAUGUGAACUGGGAUUUAGAGCUUCUAAAGUAGCUGAAGGAGAACACGACUCCACUCCAUCACCCCAGUGCAAAAACCCUUCUAAUGGCAAACCACAGUGCAAGAAGCACAGAGAAGCGACACCCCAAGAGGAGUAUGUGAAGACAUUGAGAACUCACUCAGUUAAAAUCCCUUCUUUAAAGCAGACCCCCUCUUACUGUGGAGAGUACAGAGACGCCACAUUCUUCAUGUUAACAGUUUUGAAACCCAGGGCAACUUGAAGACCUUGCCUCAUUCUUUUAAAGGUGGGAAGAGUUCCCGUCAAUUAGACAUUCCUGAAACUCACAAGGGAAAUCCCACAGGAGGGACUACAUUUUCCUGGGCUGAUUGUGGGAAGAGUUUUAAUCAUAUAUCGCUGCUUAAAAAACACCAUCAAAUUCACACAGGAGAGAAACCUCAUCACUUUGCUGUUUGUGGGAAGAGAUUCAGUCAGUUAGGAGACCU